rnacentral:rRNA from 1 species
AACGAACGUUGGCGGCGUGCUUAACACAUGCAAGUCGAACGCGAACGGUUUCUUCGGAGACCUAGUAGAGUGGCGCACGGGUGAGUAACGCGUAAGUAAUCUACCCUCGCAUCAGGGAUAACUACGGGAAGCUGUAGCUAAUACCGGAUACGUUCUCCUAUUUACGGACUGGAGAAGAAAGAUGGCCUCUUCAUGAAAGCUAUCGUGCGGGGAGGAGCUUGCGUACCAUUAGCUAGUUGGUAGGGUAAUGGCCUACCAAGGCGACGAUGGUUAGCGGGUCUGAGAGGAUGAUCCGCCACACUGGAACUGAAACACGGACCAGACUCCUACGGGAGGCAGCAGUGAGGAAUAUUGCGCAAUGGGGGAAACCCUGACGCAGCGACGCCGCGUGGAUGAUGAAGGCCUUAGGGUCGUAAAAUCCUGUCAGGUGGGAAGAAGUGGUUAUAGACUAAUACUCUAUUUCUUUGACGGUACCACCAAAGGAAGCACCGGCUAACUCCGU